UGGGCAAGUCGGUUAAGAACAAAUUCUUAUUUACAAUAAUGGCCUAGGAACAGUGGGUUAACGCCCUUGUUCAGGGGCAGAAUCACAGAUGUUUACCUUGUCAGCUCGGGGAUUCGAUCUCGCAACCUUUCGGUUACUGGCACAAUGCUCUAACCACUAGGCUACCUGCCGCCCCAAACUUAACAGUUAGGCUAUUGAUUAUAGACCUAAUGAAGAUGGGGUUUCCUCCUUCCUCGUCCUUCAGUUCUAAUCACUGCCAAAGAUGACUAUAAUAUGUAUUGAAUCAGGGGUGUUAAUUCUUAUGUAAAUGAUACAUUGCUGUAUUUAAUUUUCAAUAAAUUUGCUAACUUCUAAAAACAUGUUUAAACUUGUAUCAGAUAUUGUGUGUAGAUGAGUGAGAAAAAUCUGUAAUCCAUUUUGAAUUCAGGCUGUAACAACAAAAUCUGGAAUAAAUCAAGGGGUAUGAAUACUUUCUGAAGGCUCUGUAUCAGAGGCCUGCAACACCUGUUCUGGACAGCCCGUCCACAUGGUGUGCAGGCUCUUGUUCCAUACCAGCACUAACACAGUGGGUUCAGCUAAAUCAAAUAACCAUAAUCCUCAAUUUAGUCCUUAUUACUUGACAUUCGUAUGGGUAUGAAUACGUUCUAAAAGCACUGUAGCUAUGGCUUAUGAUAUGUCCCUUUUGUAUAACCAUGAUCUGUUUGAUAUGCUAAUGCCCUCCUUUGUCAUGUUUAGUCCUGGCAGUCUCAUACAUGUGUAACUAUAUGUUAAGCCUAGUCAUAUGGCAUUACUUCAUGAUGUAUGCACCUUUUUUGAUGUGUUCCUAAUGCGUUUCUCUAGUCUUCUAGACCGCCACUUCCUACCUUACCGUGCUACCGGCCUUUUCAAGCCCCAACUCCAACCCUUCCCCCAUGUGCAACUGUGUUUAUUAUAAAUACCCUCAACGUGGAUUAUCAACCUCCAUCUCCUAAAUGUGUUCUGACCGAUGCUGCAACACCCCGGAACUAGCCUAUACAGUCCACAUAGUCCUUUUAUUUUUGAAAUCGUAGCUACUGUAAGUAGUAUAGCUAGUACUAACUAAUGUGGGUGGGUCUACAUUGGGGCUAUUGAAGUGAUGAGAAAAAAAUGUAAUGUCGACUUCUAGCUAAUCUCGGUUACCCAGAAGUAAAUUAUCGCUAAACCUUAGGUGGUGGAAAAUAGUUCAGGACUGUUGCUCCUCUUCAUCACUGCUAGUAAACAAAACAAGCUAACGUUAGCUAGCUAACAGUAGAUAGGUUGUUGGCCCUCAGUAGCGGUUAAUCUUCCAAUGAGGUUUUCACUGGCGAUUGAUAAUGGAAGCCAGACUUUAUUCACGCUCAUAAAUAGUUCAACAGAUCAUAAACUCACCUUUAAAAAUAGCCCUUGUCGUCAGUUGCUUGGUUGAGUAAGGAAACGCGACGAAAAGAAGCAGGAACGUAAACUUCCGCCCGCGUUUCUAAAACGGAAGUGGCGUUAUAUUUGUGCUGCCGUCAGUUAGAUACUGUAGGUAUGGAGCCAGCAACUCAACGGCUUUCCAAUAAAUCAAAAAUAUAUAAGGCAGCUGCAAAUUACAUAGUAUUGAUACUUCUUCCACUACCAAAACGCUACAUAAUUAAAUAGUUAAACUCUAUUAAAAAAAAGGGGGCAGGACAGGCCAGUCAUACAUAGAGCAAGCUGGCAAAGUUAACUAGCAUCGUUAGCAUUGGUGUGUGGAUGUUUUGUUUGCAGCAGUGGUACUAACAUAUGAAUUACCAUGUGCCAUCAUUUGUUAGACAUCCAGAGUUUUUACCGGAUACUAAAGAAAUUAUUACAUGUUACCCAGAGUUGAAGUGAUAAUACAGGAAACCCUUCCCACACUGUGAGCAGUGAAAAGGCUUCUUUCCUGUGUUC
ensembl:lncRNA